rnacentral:snRNA from 1 species
AACCACUUCGGUGGUCAUCCGUAAUAAUUGGAGCGAUACAGAGAAGAUUAGCAUGGCCCCUGCGCAAGGAUGACACGCAUAAAUCGAGAAGUAUCGCACUUUUUG